AAAAGAAAGAAAUCUCCAAUAGAGGGAUCCCUGGUCCUAGAGCACGGCAUGAAAAAGGAAACAGAAGGAGAAAAAAGCAACCUUACACUGUAGCGGGAAAGAGAGUUUCGCUCAACAAACAGAAGCCCUUGACUUCAGAGGUGAAUAAUCCCAGAAACAAGCUACCAAGAGCGGUGGUCCUGGUCACUGGACUUGGCAGGCAAACCAACUGAAUGGAAAUUCUGAAGACCACAGUAGGAGUUUUCUCUUUGUGGGUUUUGGAUGGUAAAAUCUUCAAUCUGUUCCACAGGCAGAAAUCAG
rnacentral:lncRNA from 1 species